AGAAGGAAGACUGCUGAAUGCUCCUGAAGAAACCAAGGAACUAAGCUAGGAGAAGGCAAGGGCUGAGUCCAGACUGAGAACAGUGGUCUAGCCUGUAAAGAGAUAUCACUGGAACUCUGAGCUGCAGAAACUCUACAACCUGCCUCAACAACAUUUAGGCCUGUGCACGUCUACAGAAGCACUCUAUGUAGAAGUCCAGUCUGGCAUUUCGACACCGCCUCAUCAAUUAUUGGGAGUGGACCACAUCCACCCUGACUGAAUUGGCCUUCAGCAAUGGUCGUCCACUUGUAAGCAUAUGGUGAAUCCGAGUUCCCUUUCUGCAGAGCAGACUUACCCUCAACUCCACCUCUUUGCCAAGUAAAUCAUACAGAGAUGCUCCUCUGGAUGUGAUUUCUGAAGCAAGCUGCCUGGCUGCCUUCAAAUCAGCAAUCUAGAAGAACAGCAUAAAAAAAUCAAACAAUGGAAGAGUCUCUUUGCCAUCACAAAGAAAAGUUGUAACAGGUUUUGUCCCUUUUCAAAUUAAAACCAUAUGUGUGACCAGCA